rnacentral:rRNA from 1 species
UACGAAGGGGGCUAGCGUUGCUCGGAAUCACUGGGCGUAAAGCGCACGUAGGCGGAUCUUUAAGUCAGGGGUGAAAUCCCGGAGCUCAACUCCGGAACUGCCUUUGAUACUGGAGAUCUUGAGUCCGGGAGAGGUGAGUGGAACUGCGAGUGUAGAGGUGAAAUUCGUAGAUAUUCGCAAGAACACCAGUGGCGAAGGCGCUCACUGGCCCGGUACUGACGCUGAGGUGCGAAAGCGUGGGGAGCAG